rnacentral:rRNA from 1 species
UGGGGAAUAUUGCACAAUGGGCGAAAGCCUGAUGCAGCGACGCCGCGUGAGGGAUGGCGGCCUUCGGGUUGUAAACCUCUUUCAGCAGGGAAGAAGCGAAAGUGACGGUACCUGCAGAAGAAGCGCCGGCUAACUACGUGCCAGCAGCCGCGGUAAUACGUAGGGCGCAAGCGUUGUCCGGAAUUAUUGGGCGUAAAGAGCUCGUAGGCGGUUAGUCGCGUCUGCUGUGAAAACUCGAGGCUCAACCUCAGGCUUGCAGUGGGUACGGGCUGACUAGAGUGCGGUAGGGGUGACUGGAAUUCCUGGUGUAGCGGUGGAAUGCGCAGAUAUCAGGAGGAACACCGAUGGCGAAGGCAGGUCACUGGGCCGCAACUGACGCUGAGGAGCGAAAGCAUGGGGAGCGAACAGGAUUAGAUACCCUGGUAGUCCAUGCCGUAAACGUUGGGCACUAGGUGUGGGGUCCAUUCCACGGAUUCCGUGCCGCAGCAAACGCAUUAAGUGCCCCGCCUGGGGAGUACGGCCGCAAGGCUAAAACUCAAAUGAAUUGACGGGGUCAUAGCUGUUUCCU